CCUACGGGAGGCUGCAGUGAGGAAUAUUGGUCAAUGGACGCAAGUCUGAACCAGCCAUGCCGCGUGCAGGAAGACGGCUCUAUGAGUUGUAAACUGCUUUUGUACGGGGGUAAACGCAGAUACGUGUAUAUGUCUGAAAGUAUCGUAAGAAUAAGGAUCGGCUAACUCCGUGCCAGCAGCCGCGGUAAUACGGAGGAUCCAAGCGUUAUCCGGAUUUAUUGGGUUUAAAGGGUGCGUAGGCGGUCGGAUAAGUUAGAGGUGAAAUCCCGAGGCUCAACUGCGGAAUUGCAUUUGAGACUGUUCGGCUAGAGAGUAGUUGCGGUAGGCGGAAUGCAUGGUGUAGCGGUGAAAUGCUUAGAGAUCAUAAAGAACACCGAUUGCGAAGGCAGCUUACUAAGCUACAUCUGACGUUGAGGCACGAAAGCGUGGGGAGCAAACAGGAUUAGAUACCCGUGUAGUC
rnacentral:rRNA from 1 species